UACGUAGGGCGCAAGCGUUGUCCGGAAUUAUUGGGCGUAAAGAGCUCGUAGGCGGUUUGUCGCGUCUGCUGUGAAAUCCCGAGGCUCAACCUCGGGCUUGCAGUGGGUACGGGCAGACUAGAGUGCGGUAGGGGAGACUGGAAUUCCUGGUGUAGCGGUGGAAUGCGCAGAUAUCAGGAGGAACACCGAUGGCGAAGGCAGGUCUCUGGGCCGCAACUGACGCUGAGGAGCGAAAGUGUGGGGAGCGAACAGG
rnacentral:rRNA from 1 species